AAACGGCAGUAAAAUGCAAUAUAAUAUUGCGGUUUUGGUGAUGCCAUAAUAAAUUUUUAAUUAAUGGCGUUUUCGUUAAUAUUACUGCGGUUCAAACCGCCGCUAUAGUUUUUUUUUUUUUUUUUAAAAACAAUUAAGCAUACAAUUCUCUGCGCGCUCUCUCUAUCUUCACUCUUAAAAACAAUUAGCAUACAGUAAAGUUAUUUCCAUUCCAUUCUUAGCUUUCUUUUUUGUCCAUUCUACUACCAUCACUCUUAGCUUAUAUUUCCAUAGGCAACAACUCAUUAGCAUCGACAAUCUUCGCAUUAAAUUUCGAAAUUUACAUUCUUAGGUAACCAGGGGAUCAAAAAUUUCUGGUGAAGCUAUCGGGAUUGACGUCGACAGUAAACUGUUUCAUAGCUAUGCCAAUUGAUAAAUCUUGGAUUAGCAAACCACAAAACACACCUGAAUAUGAAAAUGGGCUAAGAAAAUUUUUGGAUUUUGGUUUCGAGCACGGGUCUAUUGAUGGGCGUGUAAUUAAAUGCCCGUGUCCGAUAUGUGGCUUUAAAAAGUGGCAAGAAAGAGGUGUAAUUGAAGAGCACUUGACUUGUAAGCCUUUUCCCAAAAAUUAUAAAUUUUGGUAUAUGCAUGGGAAAGAAUCAAAUGCAACUGCGCCACAGUCUUUUCAGAGCACAAAUUUCAUAGAAGAUACUUUGCAACCCCAAAACCUAAUGGCAACCAUGAUUAAUGAUGCAUUUGGGUUCACCAGCAACGAUGUCAAUGAGCCUGAUAUGUCUUGUGAGCCUAUAAAUAGAGAAGAAAUAGUUAAUGAAGGGCAUAUUGAGGGGAAUAAUGAAGAUUAUGCAAAGUUCUUUGAAUUGAUCGAAGAUGGCAAGCAACCAUUAUAUGAAGGGUGUAAGAAGUAUCCAAAUUAUCCUUCCUAAUUAAAUUGUAUCAUAUAAAAUGUUUGUGCCAGAUGACUGACAAAGCGAUGAGUAUGAUACUAGAAUUGUUAAAAGAUGCCUUUGAAGAUGCCAAGAUUCCUAUUUCCUUUUAUGAGGCCAAGAAAACCAUAAACAAACUUGGUCUUAAUUACACCAAGAUACAUGCUUGCCCAAAUGAUUGUAUAUUGUAUUUUGGGGAAGACGAAGGCUUGCAAGAAUGCAAAAAAUGCAAGACAUCUAGGUGGAAGAAUAAUAAAAAGAAACAACCUGCAAAGAUUUUGUGCUACUUUUCACUAAAGCCAAGGUUGCAAAGAUUGGUCGUGUUCUAAAACUGCUGAGUCAAUGAGAUGGCAUUCUUUAGGGGGUAACCAAGAUGGAGUGAUGAGCCAUCCUAGGGGUUCUCAGGCAUGGAAAACAUUUGACUUACUUCACCCUGAAUUUGCUGCCGAUCCUUGAAAUGUACGACUAGCCCUAUCUAGUGACGGUUUCAAUCCUUUUGGAGCAAUGUCAAUAGAUUAUAUUAUUUGGCCAGUGAUUCUUAUCCCAUACAACCGUCCUCCUUGGAAGUGCAUGAAACAAAUUUCAUUUAUUCUCUUAAUGAUCAUUCCAGGAAAGCAAAUGCCAGGCGAUGACAUCGAUGUGUACUUACAACCUCUUAUCCAAGAGUUGAGAGAAUUGUGGUACGACGGAGUGCAAACAUUAGAUUCUUCAAAGAAUGAAAAUUUUAAAAUGCGAGCAGCUCUGAUGUGGACAAUUAGUGAUUUUCCUGUGCUUGGUAACUUAUCUGGAUGGAACACAUACACAAAGUUUGCUUGCCCCACGUGUAACUUUGCUACAGAUUCUUGCAGAUUGAAGCAUAGUAGAAAGUGGUGUUUAAUGGGUCAUCGUCGUUUUCCUAGAAGUGGCCAUCGAUUUAGAUUGCAACGUAUUCGUUUUAAUGGGAAAAUUGAGCAACGGGAGCCACCAAUAUUAUUAUCAGGGUCAGACAUCUUGAAACAAGUGGAGGGCACUAAUGUCAUUUUUGGGAAAGUACUUGAAUUGAAUGAUAAUGGUAAAAGAACCCGAGGACAAAUUGUUGUUGAAGAUAGAUCGAGACAGUGGAGAAAGAAAAGCAUAUUUUUUUAUCUUCCUUACUGGGAAUCUAACUUGUUGCGUCAUAAUCUAGAUGUUAUGCACAUUGAGAAGAAUGUUUGUUUGUGACAAUGUGUUAAAUACUUUACUUAAUGAUAUUGGAAAAUCAAAAGACAAUCUUCAUGCUCGGGAAAAUCUUAGAGAAAUGGGUAUAAGGAAAGAACUUUGGGUUAAUGAGAAUUGAAAAUAUCCUCCAUCUUUGUUUGCUAUAUCAAAUUCUAAGAAAGAUGGAUUCAAGAAAGAUGUGUUUUUGCGUACUUUAAAGAAUGUCAAAAUGCCUGAUGGAUACUCGAGUAACUUUUCAAGAUGUGUCGACUUGAAACAACGGAAAUUGUUUGGAAUGAAGAGUCAUGAUUGUCACAUUCUCAUGGAGCACUUGUUACCAAUUGCCAUACGUAAUGUUUUACCUGAGAAAGUGACUAAGUGACUGCAGUGUUGAUAGAGUUGAGUUCAUUCUUUCGACAACUCUGUGCUAAAAGCUUAAGUCUCUCAGACCUUGACAGGCUUUGGUCUCGGCAUUUUCUCAACAUGAAUCACCUAGAAAUGUUAUUACCUCCAGCGUUCUUUACAAUCAUGGUUCAUUUAACUUCUCAUCUAGUUGACGAAGCAAAACUUGCGGGACCAGUGCAGCAUCGGUGGAUGUGGAUGUAUCUAACUGAGAGGUAAACAAAAUUUUCUGCUCUUCUUUUUAGAGUUUCAUACAUGGGAUCUUUCUCUAUUCAUUCUGGUCAAUUUAUUUUUCAGUUUUGUGCUCUUCUUUUUAGAGUUUCUUGAGAUUCAUACAUGGUUUCUUUCUCUGUUCAUUCUGGUUGAAUUUGGUUUUCCAGUUUUGAGAUCUUUUUUUUUUUUUUUUUUUGGGUGAUUUUCUUGAGUUUCACAUACUACUAAAAGUUGAGAGUUUCACAUCUUUCUCUAUCCAUUAUUUUUACAUAUUCUUGGCAGUACUCAAGCUUUAUUGCCUGCCUAAUAGUUAUUGAUCUUCUUAGAUCUAAUGUCUUAGAAGCCUAUAUGUUCUGUAGUCUGGGAUAUAUGUACAUGCAUUUGUUAUAUCUAUAAUUGAAAGGACAGUUUCUUUACAUUUUGCCCUUUAUGCUGUCAUAUUCUGUAGGCAAGAUUCUUUUAUCUUCCACAUACACAUGUUGGCUUGAUAUUGGGAGUAUUUGUUCUUCAUCAUCUGAUCAAUUAGUGUGAAAUAAGAUGAAUUCUCAUGUUACUCUCAACUUUCUACUAUUUUAUAGUUUGUAUGUAAAUGAUUUACGAGGCUAGUAUCUUUGAGAGUACAAUCUGGUCAAUAUGUUUCUCUGUUGCUGUUGUAAUACUAUUUCGUUAUCACAUCAGUUAUCAAGAUGUGAUUGCCUUUUGAGUUUUCGAUGUGGUUGGAUUUCUUUUGCUUGGUCUCAAGAUUUAUUUUCCUUCCUUUUCCUUUUCCUUUUCUUUGGGAAGGGAGGUCAGUGUAAUUUUAUAGAGUUGAGGAUGUCAAACUAUCAUCUUGCGUGGAUUACUUUAAAAAUCUCAUUGUUGUUUUACUUUACUUUUCUUGAUAUCCUUCAUUGUUUUCUACUUUACUACCACGAAGGCUACUCUUUAUGCUCAGCUAGCCAGUUGAAAAACUUGAAAGGUCUAGCAACCUUCCUUGAAUGUCCCUAAGUCCUAAACACAGUGGGGACUUAUCAGAAAAGAGAGCUCCAUCGGUAUAGCAUUCAAAAAAGAUAUUCUCAUCAUCCACUCAACAUUUACGAUAUCUUUGUCAAUCUUACUAAAAAUAUGGCCCUUGAUCCAUGUGUAUUCCCUACCACCUGUUGAGAGUUGAGUAAUUCCAGCAUCUGGCAUGAAAUUCCUGAAAUCUCUCACUUCGACCUCUUGUACACUAUUCCAUUGGGUCCUAUCAUGAACAUCUGUUAUGGCAUUGAAAUCAUCCAUCAGAACUGUAGUUACAAGUAAAUAUAUAUGAUAACCAUUAGUACAAGUUGAGUAAUUCCUGAACUGUAGUCAAAGAUCAGAAGGUCUCACAGAAAUUUCUCCUCAUGAUGCGCUUGGUGUGGUCUUCGGUCCGCAGCACCCUGGUCGUGUUCGACGCUUAGGCAUGGGUGUUGUUCCAACUGUGGCAUUCAAUAAGACAUGAAGGCGAGGUGGUCGUUUUUAUAUGGGUUCAACUAAUGCUAGCGCUCCACCUCCACAAUGGCAACAAGAGAUGGCGGAUGUGAGAUCACAAUUGAAUGCGCUAACAAACUUAUAUCGAAUGAACACAGGGAAUAUCCCCGAGGAGUUUAAUCACUUAUUUCCGACUCCCCCACAGGUAGACAAAAUUAACUUGGUAGUCUGGGAAUCACUUAUUUCAAGGGAAUGCUGCGUAUCAAGGCUAAAAGAAAUAGACAAAAGAGUACUUGUUUACGGGAAAUAUUUGAUAGUAUGUUUAAAGUUAGAUUGGAACCAUUAUGGGAUAUGUUUGUCUGGUGAUAGAACGAAACUAGGGGUGCCAAUUCUGGCCCUAAACGUGAUGGCCCGCCCAAAAUUUUAUGGGUUGAGUACAAGAUAAUUAGCACUGGGCUGAUUUUUAGCCCAUUCAUCAAAACCCAUUUUUUAAUUGAUUGCCAUUUCAGCCCAAAAUUGGACCGAAAUAUGGCCAAGUCUAACUUUUGAAAACCCCUAAAUUAUUUAGUCAUUUCAGACU